rnacentral:lncRNA from 1 species
CUGUGCUGUGGAGGCUGCAGCAGAGGUCUGUGAGCGCUCCGGUCGUUCUGAGGCUGCAGACUGCGCCAGACGGAUGGUCUUGUAGGAGUAGACCGUGGCCAGGCAUCUAUGAGUGACAUCACCAUCAUCAUGCGUUUUUGGCAUCUGACCCCCUCUCUCUGUAGCCACAACCUCUGUGCGUGUUGCCUUGCCAACAUGGUUCUCUGAGGGCUGCUGGUUGUGGCUCCGCCCCUGUAACAGCAGCUGAUUCCGUAGAGUAGCGACGUCCAUCUGCAACUGGUCUCUCUCCUCUGUGAGCUGUUCUCUCUGUUCUCUCAGAACAUCCAUUGACUGAACUAGCUGCUCCUUCUCUUCUUUUAGAUCAGAGACAAACUGGUCCACCUGGUACCUCUUUCGUGUUUGAAGACUGAGAGAUGACAGCUUGUCUCUCUCCUGCUCUAGACGGCUGAGUGUCUGUGUUAGCUGGUCCCUCUGUCCCUUUAAACCACACAUUGACUGCAUCAACUGGUCUCUCUCAUCUUUUUGGCUGAAGAGAGACUGCAAGAGCUUGUCUCUCUCCUCCUGGAGUCUAGACAUUGACUGAACUAGCUGGUCUCUCUCCUCCUGGAGUCCAGACAUUGACUGAACUAGCUGGUCUCUCUCCUCCUGGAGUCCAGACAUUGACUGAACUAGCUGGUCUCUCUCCUCCUGGAGUCCAGUCACUGACUGAACUAGCUGGUCUCUCUCCUCCUGGAGUCCAGACAUUGACUGAACUAGCUGGUCUCUCUCCUCCUGGAGUCCAGUCACUGACUGAACUAGCUGGUCUCUCUCCUCCUGGAGUCCAGACAUUGACUGAACUAGCUGGUCUCUCUCCUCCUGGAGUCCAGACAUUGACUGAACUAGCUGGUCUCUCUCCUCCUGGAGUCCAGACAUUGACUGAACUAGCUGGUCCUUCUCCUCCUGGAGUCCAGACAUUGACUGAACUGGCUGGUCUCUCUCCUCCUGGAGUCCAGACAUUGACUGAACUGGCUGGUCUCUCUCCUCCUGGAGUCCAGACAUUGACUGAACUAGCUGGUCUCUCUCCUCCUGGAGUCCAGACAUUGACUGAACUAGCUGGUCUCUCUCCUCCUGGAGUCCAGUCACUGACUGAACUAGCUGGUCUCUCUCCUCCUGGAGUCCAGACAUUGACUGAACUAGCUGGUCUCUCUCCUCCUGGAGUCCAGACAUUGACUGAACUAGCUGGUCUCUCUCCUCCUGGAGUCCAGACAUUGACUGAACUAGCUGGUCUCUCUCCUCCUGGAGUCCAGACAUUGACUGAACUGGCUGGUCUCUCUCCUCCUGGAGUCCAGACAUUGACUGAACUGGCUGGUGUCUCUCCUCCUGGAGUCCAGACAUUGACUGAACUAGCUGGUCUCUCUCCUCCUGGAGUCCAGACAUUGACUGAACUGGCUGGUGUCUCUCCUCCUGGAGUCCAGACAUUGACUGAACUAGCUGAUCUCUCCCCUCUUUUAAACCACACAUUGACCGCAUCACCUUGUCUCUCUCAUCUUUCAGACCACAGAGGGACCUUGUCAGCUGUUCUUUCUCUUCUUUUAAACUGCAGAGUGACUUAUGGAUCUGGUCGCGUUCUUCUUUCAGAACCCACAUGGAGCGCGUUAGCUGGUGUUUCUCCUCUGUUUGACUGCUAAGUGAGAGGGACACCUGUUCUCUUUCCUCUUUGAGAUCACUGAGAUAGCCAAUCAGCUCGUCCCUGUUCUCUCUAAGCCUGCACGUUGACUCCGUGGUCAAACGGUCCUCCUGCUGUAGGCCUAGCUGACUGCUCUCGACCCGUCUUUCCUGCAGCUCUAUGAUAGUGUUGAGGUCAUCCUCAGUCUUCCUGGUCAGCUCAGUGAUGAGACCUCCCUGCUCCUGGUUCUCCUGCUCCAGCCUGGUGCUCUCCCUCUCUAGCAGGGACACCUGUAGCCUGAGCUGGACUAGCUCCCUCUCACUCUCCCCCUCCUGGCGCUCUAUGUGGGCUAGGAGCUCCUGGAUACGCCUGCCCAGGGCCCGGUUCUCCUGGUUCAAGGCUAGGGCUAGGUCAUCCUGGGCUAAGGCAUACAGGGACAGGUCAUCCUGGGCUAAGGCUAGGAUAGUAUCAUUCUGAUAUGGAGUUGCAGUGAGCUCUCUGCUCCCCUGGGGUAUUAGGUUUGGAGUUGGCACCUUGUUUUCCUGGACAUUUGUCAUGCUCUCGCCUACAAGCGAGGACCCCUGCUCCACCUCGCAGGCCCCUGUUUCUCCCUGCGCCCUGAGUUUACAUUUCAGUUGGGCGUUCUCCUCGGUCACCCUGUGCAGCUGGUCCUGUGUGUGUCGUAGCGUGCUCUCCAGCUGGUCCCUGUGGUCCCGGAGUGAGUCCAUGUCGCCCCCCAUGCUCCUGUAAGCCUCUCUCAGGGCCUCAGUCUCCUCGCUUGUCCCCUCCUCCAGGUUUAGAGAGGGGACGCCCCCAGGACCAGGACACCAGUCCCUCAGGGUCAACUCCCCCAGACCCUCAAUGCUCUUAGUACCCAGGGAUAUGAGGCAGGGGUUCUGGCUACGGUGGCCUGAGAGGUUCAGGAGGUCCGGCUGGGGCAGAGGCAGAGUGGAGUUUUCCUGUGACCUCUCUGUUGCUCCAUGGUGAUGAGCAGAGGGAGGUGUGUCUAGUGAAGACUGGCCUGGGAUCAUCUUCACCUGCAUAGAUGAUGAACACUAAACAUUAGAAGUUCAUCAAAAAGCAGAUCCCAGUCUCAAACACAAGAGCCGGCCACACCCGUUAGUUCCUCUGUAGUUAAUCAGAUCAACAUUCCACUUUGGA